rnacentral:rRNA from 1 species
UACGGGGGGGGCAAGCGUUGUUCGGAAUUACUGGGCGUAAAGGGCUCGUAGGCGGCCAACUAAGUCGGAUGUGAAAUCCCCAGGCUUAACCUGGGAACUGCAUCCGAUACUGGAUGGCUUGAAUCCGGGAGAGGGAUGCAGAAUUCCAGGUGUAGCGGUGAAAUGCGUAGAUAUCAGGAGGAACACCGGUGGCGAAGGCGGCUCUCUGGACGGUGACUGACGCUGAGACGCGAAAGCGUGGGGAGCAAACAGG